rnacentral:rRNA from 1 species
AACGUAGGAGACAAACGUUAUCCGUGAGUUACUGGGCGUAAAGGGCGUGCAGGUGGUCUGUUAAGUCUGGCGUGAAAGCUCUCGGCUAAACCGGGAGAGGUCGUUGGAUACUGGCGGACUAGAGGACGGUAGAGGUGUGUGGAAUUCCGGGUGUAGUGGUGAAAUGCGUAGAGAUCCGGAGGAACACCAGUGGCGAAGGCGACACACUGGGCCGUACCUGACACUAAGACGCGACAGCAUGGGGAGCGAACGGG